rnacentral:misc_RNA from 1 species
AAAGUCGUAACAAGGUCUCCGUUGGUGAACCAGCGGAGGGAUCAUUACAGAGUUUAUACAACUCACUACACCAUUGUGAACCCUACCUCCCCGUUGCUUCGGCGGGAGGCGCCCCCCGUGCCCCUGUAAUAGGCGGCCGCGGAGCGCCCUCGGACCCCCCGCGGGCGCCCGUCGAAGGAAUCUCAAAACCCUUUGAUUGCAUCUGGCCUCUCUGAGUUUUAUACCGAAUAAGUCAAAACUUUCAACAACGGAUCUCUUGGUUCUG